GUUGCCUGAGGGCAAUGCUGUGCAGUACAAUGUUAGACCGUCUUUAGGACCUUGAGGCGUUUUUAUUGUUCUUCCUGUUAUGUAACGAAAACUCACUAUAAAGUGAUUUACAUGAACGGAUGCAGUACAAAUCUGUACCCAACUUUCAGUUUAAGUGCCUGAUGCAACAGCAUUUCCUGUUACAGUCAGUACUAGAAGUUCCUAGUUUUGAUGUGUAUGUAGUAUUGACGGAACUCGUCCAUCUUUCUCUGAAAAUGAAAAUCAGGAGGUGGAUAUUGGUACUGUCAGGAAGAAGUAUCAGGAUGAGCUUCUGGCACUUGCAAAAUAUUACUUCAAACCUGUAGGUCUGCUAUUGUUUGCUAUGAUUGGUGCCCUUAUUGGAUCGGUUGUUGGAUCGAAUUAUGGAGUGGUGGGCUCUGGAUCUGGGAUCAUCAUUGGAAUCAUAGUAACAAUUCCACUGGGUCUAUACCUGAUUACAGCUGCAAGCCUCGCACGGCAAAGUUCAUCUCAUGUGGAAGUCAAAAAAACUGAACAGACUAAUUAGACCCUAAAAACUGUGAGCUACACAAUAGAUGCAAAUAUUUAUACCACUGGGACAAAAAUAAUAUCAGUGAUGCAUCAGUGUAAAGUGACCCAACAUUUUUAAUUAUCAUAGAAUGUCAUACUAUUUACAUACUUAUAGUUGAUUUUGAGAAUUGAAUGAAAGAGGAGAUUGUGGUCACAUGCAUAGAAAGCAACUAAUAUUUGCCAGAUAUUCCAACAGCUCAUUUAAUGUUGCUGUAAGUCUCCUGGUAACUUCUCUGAGAUGUAUUGUUCUUGCAUUUCUCAUCCUUUCUUGUCCAUUUUAGUGGCAUGCUUUUUUAAUGCGGUUCAUCAGAAUCACUUAAUUGAUGGCAUCUCUAAGAGAUUUAGUUGUAAAAAAAUUAAUUGUGCAUCACAAUAACUUUUAUUGUGCUUUUUAUUAUUAACUACUAUUAGAUUUCUAAAAUUAAUACAACUUUAAAUAAUCUUCAGCACCUUUUAUUAUAUGUUUAUAUGACACUAAAUGCUAUGUUUGUAUUGAAAUUUUAUAUUAUUUUGAACAAUUUACUUUUUUGCUUCUUGGAAACUAAUCUGUUGAAUGUUUUCCAUUUAUUCAUUCAUUAACACAUCAGCUGCAUAAAGUGGAGGUCUUUUCAAGACUGGACAGUCGUUAAUGUUAAAAAAGGUGCGAGAAAAGCAAAUAUUAUUUCUAUGUAAAUAAUGUUUAUAUGUUUUAUAUUUUCAUAUAAGGAGCAUUAUUUUAAAGCAGCUGUAGCUGAGCUAUCAAUUGUACUCAAAUCAGUGUUUUUUGAAUCUGAUGCAAAUUUUUAAUAAUAAAAUUAUCAUUACUAUGUUCUA